rnacentral:rRNA from 1 species
AGAUUGAACGCUGGCGGCAGGCCUAACACAUGCAAGUCGAGCGGUAGAGAGGUGCUUGCACCUCUUGAGAGCGGCGGACGGGUGAGUAAUGCCUAGGAAUCUGCCUAGUGGUGGGGGAUAACGUUCGGAAACGGACGCUAAUACCGCAUACGUCCUACGGGAGAAAGCGGGGACCGUUCGGGCCGUCGCGGCCAUUAGAUGAGCCU